ensembl:lincRNA
UUGACAUGUGCUUAGAAGAAAGGAUCAACUCAGGAGAAGUGUUCUUCUCUGGUCACAUAUUGACCUUCCCCUCAUUAGCAUGGCAGCCCCUCAUUAUUCUGGGACUUCACCAAGAUGAGAUCUACAGUUGCACCUUUUGGAAUGCUGACCAUGUCUUUUCCAUAUCUGGAGUGGGCUAGAUAUUUUCCUACUUUACCUAUUUUACCAAGUUCUCAAUAGAGAAUUAGGAAAAGGGCCUUUGUUGGUUGACAUCCAUGGGAAGCCCAGAACCGCUCAUGCUGAUGUCUGUGUCUUGCUCCUGUCCUCCCACUGCUGGGACUAAAGUGUGUCCUCUGUCUCUUUAUCCCCAUCUCCCAGGCCUGUAUGCCUGCAAAGAAGGCCGAAACAGCCCCUGCUUGGUGUACGUCACUUUCAACCAGAAGAUCUACGUGUACUGGGAGGUGCAGCUGGAGCGGAUGGAGUCCACUAAUCUGCUGAAACUGCUGGAGGCUGAGCCCGAGUACCACAGCCUACUGCAGGAGCUGGGUGUGGAUCCUGAUGAUCUCCCUGCAGUCCGUACCCUGCUUCACCAGACACUUUACCAGCCGGACCAGGCACCACAGUGUACUCCCUCAAGCCUCCAGGACCCCACCUAACUGGGAUUAGUUGGUGAAGGAUCCUUCUGAGCCCACCCCAUCUCAAAGUGAUCCAUGAUCUUGGCAGGCUAAGGAAUGUACAUGACAGCAUUUGAUUCUCUGCAUGGAAGGAUGGUGGUGAUCCUCAUGGUCUUUGAUGAAUGAAGAGAUUAGUUGACCCUCUGCCUCCUGCCUUGUGGGCUUCACCUGGGUCACUAGAUCCCAGUCUUGUUAGAGAUCAUCCAGGUUCCUGUGUUUCCCUCCCCACACUCCCCACUCUGUGCAGAAAACAGACCUGUCUGUGAGAACAAGUGACAUCUUUUGCAGGGCCCCAACACCUGGAAGGAGACCAGGCUUCAGGCCUGAGGAGCAGUGGAGGUAAGGGCCCCUCAUGCUGAGUGCCAUCUUUCAUGAUAUGGCUCAGGCAGCUGACAUGAGUAAUUCUUACAGGAACAGCAGAGUGUGUGUGAGAGUAUCUUUCAGGACUUUUACUCUACUCCAUUUACUGAAGCAGCUUGGUCAGGGCUUUCUUGUUUUGUCAUAAUCUUUUUCUUCUUUUCUAUUUAUUUUGUACUCAAGGUAGAGCCCAGGGCCUUGCACGUUAGGCAAGCACUCUGCCACCAAGCCACACCCCAGCCUUGCUAUAUUCUAAAGUGUUAUACAGUAUAAUAGCCCCACCCACCUGCCUGUCCCAAACAUCUUACUGCCUAUGAAACAAUAGAUGUUUGCAGUUUGUUUUCAUGGUAGUGCACACCUAUAAUCCUGGCACUUGGAGGAUUUUGAGUCCCAGGCUAGCCAGGGCCCCAUAGCAAGUUUGAGACCAGCGUGGGUUACGCACAGACAAAAAAGAUAUUAACAAUCUGAUGCGGGUUUAUGUUCUAGACUGUAAUUAGAAUCAUAUCUUGGGCCAUUUAUGUUCUUUCUGUUCAAGGGUAUGUGUGCUCUAAAUAAGUAUUUUUCAAGUUAUAGGUGGGACUCCUUUGAUGGAUAAUGGCUAGUAUAUUUGUGUGUCUGUGUGUGUGCAUGCUCGUGUGUGUGUGUAUGUAUACCUAGGCACAUGUGUGUGGAGGCCAGAAGAGGAUGUUGGGUCUCCUACUUGCCUACUCUACCUUACUUAUUUGAGAUGGUCUCUCUCUGAACCUGGAGUUUGUUGUGUCAUGUAGGCUGGCUGUUUAGUAAGCCUAAAUGAUGCUCCUGUGUCUGUGCCCAGACUGCUGGGGUGACAGGUACCUGCACAGCUUUUUUAUCUUGGUGCCGGGGCCCCAACUCAGGUUUUUAUGCUUGCACAGCAAGUGCUCUUUACCCACUGAGCCAUCUCCUCAGCCCCUGGAAUUUUUGAACUAAUGAAAUAGAACAAAAUAAAAUAGAAAAUGUCAGAGUCCAUUGCUCACAGUGGAGGGAAGUGUUGUUUUCUUGUAAUUGAAUGCAUAUGAGUGCAGCACACGCGGUGUAAAAUAUAUUUCACAAGCCUUUACUCUCCACUGUGCUCCAGUC